AUUGAACGCUGGCGGCAUGCCUUACACAUGCAAGUCGAACGGUAACGCGGGGCAACCUGGCGACGAGUGGCGAACGGGUGAGUAAUAUAUCGGAACGUGCCCAGUAGUGGGGGAUAGCCCGGCGAAAGCCGGAUUAAUACCGCAUACGACCUACGGGUGAAAGCGGGGGAUCGCAAGACCUCGCGCUAUUGGAGCGGCCGAUAUCAGAUUAGGUAGUUGGUGGGGUAAAGGCCUACCAAGCCUACGAUCUGUAGCUGGUCUGAGAGGACGACCAGCCACACUGGGACUGAGACACGGCCCAGACUCCUACGGGAGGCAGCAGUGGGAAUUUUGGACAAUGGGCGCAAGCCUGAUCCAGCCAUGCCGCGUGCGGGAG
rnacentral:rRNA from 1 species